CACGUAGGGGGCGAGCGUUGUCCGGAAUUACUGGGCGUAAAGGGAGCGUAGGCGGACUUUUAAGUGAGAUGUGAAAUACCCGGGCUCAACUUGGGUGCUGCAUUUCAAACUGGAAGUCUAGAGUGCAGGAGAGGAGAAUGGAAUUCCUAGUGUAGCGGUGAAAUGCGUAGAGAUUAGGAAGAACACCAGUGGCGAAGGCGAUUCUCUGGACUGUAACUGACGCUGAGGCUCGAAAGCGUGGGGAGCAAACAGGAUUAGAUACCCCGGUAGUCUCU
rnacentral:rRNA from 1 species